UCCUUUGUAGCUCAGUUGGUAAAGAAUCUGCUUGCAAUGCAGGAGACCUGGGUUUGAUCCCUGGGUAGGGAA
rnacentral:tRNA from 1 species